rnacentral:lncRNA from 10 species
UUUGUUUUAUAGCAACAGAUAAGUGAAACAGCUGCCUGACAGCCUCUCUGGGUGGGUUACCAGAUAUUCCCAAGUUGUGUCUUUAGGUGCCUUCUUAGAAUUUCAGAUCUUCCUGUCCAGUGUCUUUUAGCUUUUUCUGUUCAUCUUCAUUUCUACUAACACCAUUCUUUUCUGUACUCUUAUUAUCUCCCAUUGCCCAACUGAUUCCAGCCUUCAAUCUCUCUUCUUCAAUCCAUCCUGCAUUCAUCUGAAAGAAUGUCUGCAUAUUAAAUUUUCUUAAAACACA